rnacentral:pre_miRNA from 14 species
GUUGGGGUCCCCCAGCACGCAGGCAAGAGGAGACCCCUGAAAGAUCCCCGAAGAGAGACCCUUAUUCAAGUCUUGGGAAAUCGCGGACCCCAGACACAGAGAGACCA